UCGAACGAGGUGCUUUUUGUAGCAAUACGAGGAGUAUCCUAGUGGCGAACGGGUGAGUAACGCGUGGGUGACCUACCCCAAAGUGUGGAAUAACAGUCCGAAAGGAUUGCUAAUGCCGCAUGUGGUCUGCGAGUUUAGAAAUCGUUGACUAAAGGAGCAAUUCGCUUUGGGAGGGACCUGCGUCCCAUCAGCUAGUUGGUGAGGUAACGGCUCACCAAGGCUACGACGGGUAGGGGACCUGAGAGGGUGGCCCCCCACAACGGAACUGAAACACGGUCCAUACACCUACGGGUGGCAGCAGUAGGGAAUAUUGCACAAUGGGCGAAAGCCUGAUGCAGCAACGCCGCGUGCGCGAUGAAGGUCUUCGGAUCGUAAAGCGCUUUUCUGAGAGAUGAGAAAGGACAGUAUCUCAGGAAUAAGUCUCGGCUAACUACGUGCCAGCAGCCGCGGUAAAACGUAGGAGGCGAGCGUUAUCCGGAUUCACUGGGCGUAAAGCGCGUGCAGGUGGUUCGGUAAGUUGGGCGUGAAAUCUCCCGGCUCAACUGGGAGAGGUCGUUCAAUACUACCGGACUUGAGAGCAGAAGAGGAAGAUGGAAUUCCCGGUGUAGUGGUGAAAUGCGUAGAUAUCGGGAGGAACACCAGUGGCGAAGGCGAUCUUCUGGUCUGUUUCUGACACUCAGACGCGACAGCUAGGGUAGUAAACGGGGUUAGAGACCCCGGUAAUCCUAGCCGUAAACGAUGUGAACUUGGCGUUGGUGGGUUAAACUCCAUCAGUGCCGAAGCAAACGCGAUAAGUUCACCGCCUGGGGACUACGGCCGCAAGGUUAA
rnacentral:rRNA from 1 species